UUACGGUCAUAUCACGUUGAAACGCCGCUUCCCGAACGAUCACCAAAGUUAAGCAACGUCGAUCCUGCCCAGUACCUAGAUGGGUGACCGUUUGUGAAUACAGGUGCUGUAAG